rnacentral:rRNA from 1 species
GACAAACGCUGGCGGCGUGCUUAACACAUGCAAGUCGAACGGUGAAGCGCCUUCCUUUUUGGUGGGUGUGGAUGAGUGGCGAACGGGUGAGUAACACGUGAGUAACCUGCCCCCUUCUUCUGGAUAACCGCAUGAAAGUGUGGCUAAUACGGGAUAUUCUGGGUCUGUCGCAUGAUGGGUCUGGGAAAGAUAUUGUUUCGGUGGGGGAUGGGCUCGCGGCCUAUCAGCUUGUUGGUGGGGUGAUGGCCUACCAAGGCGGUGACGGGUAGCCGGCCUGAGAGGGUGGACGGUCACACUGGGACUGAGACACGGCCCAGACUCCGACGGGAGGCAGCAGUGGGGAAUAUUGCACAAUGGGCGCAAGCCUGAUGCAGCGACGCCGCGUGAGGGAUGGAGGCCUUCGGGUUGUGAACCUCUUUCGCCAGUGAAGCAGGCCUGCCUCGUUUGUGGGUGGGUUGACGGUAGCUGGAUAAGAAGCGCCGGCUAACUACGUG